rnacentral:rRNA from 1 species
UACGGGGGGAGCAAGCGUUGUUCGGAUUUACUGGGCGUAAAGGGCGCGUAGGCGGCCAGCGCAAGUCAGUUGUGAAAUCUCCGGGCUUAACUCGGAAAGGUCAACUGAUACUGCGCGGCUAGAGUGCGGAAGGGGCAACUGGAAUUCUCGGUGUAGCGGUGAAAUGCGUAGAUAUCGGGAGGAACACCAGUGGCGAAGGCGGCUUUCUGGCCUGUUCUUGACGCUGAGGCGCGAAAGCUAGGGGAGCAAACGGG